UCGGAUGUGAAAUCCCCGAGCUUAACUUGGGAAUUGCAUUCGAUACUGGGAAGCUAGAGUAUGGGAGAGGAUGGUAGAAUUCCAGGUGUAGCGGUGAAAUGCGUAGAGAUCUGGAGGAAUACCGAUGGCGAAGGCAGCCAUCUGGCCUAAUACUGACGCUGAGGUACGAAAGCAUGGGGAGCAAACAGGAUUAGAUACCCUGGUAGUCCAUGCCGUAAACGAUGUCUACUAGCCGUUGGGGCCUUUGAGGCUUUAGUGGCGCAGCUAACGCGAUAAGUAGACCGCCUGGGGAGUACGGUCGCAAGACUAAAACUCAAAUGAAUUGACGGGGGCCCGCACAAGCGGUGGAGCAUGUGGUUUAAUUCGAUGCAACGCGAAGAACCUUACCUGGUCUUGACAUAGUAAGAACUUUCCAGAGAUGGAUUGGUGCCUUCGGGAACUUACAUACAGGUGCUGCAUGGCUGUCGUCAGCUCGUGUCGUGAGAUGUUGGGUUAAGUCCCGCAACGAGCGCAACCCUUUUCCUUAUUUGCCAGCACUUCGGGUGGGAACUUUAAGGAUACUGCCAGUGACAAACUGGAGGAAGGCGGGGACGACGUCAAGUCAUCAUGGCCCUUACGACCAGGGCUACACACGUGCUACAAUGGUCGGUACAAAGGGUUGCUACCUAGCGAUAGGAUGCUAAUCUCAAAAAGCCGAUCGUAGUCCGGAUUGGAGUCUGCAACUCGACUCCGUGAAGUCGGAAUCGCUAGUAAUCGCGGAUCAGAAUGUCGCGGUGAAUACGUUCCCGGGCCUUGUACACACCGCCCGUCACACCAUGGGAGUUUGUUGCACCAGAAGUAGGUAGUCUAACCGUAGGGAGGAC
rnacentral:rRNA from 1 species